UGGGGAAUAUUGGACAAUGGGCGCAAGCCUGAUCCAGCCAUGCCGCGUGAGUGAUGAAGGCCCUAGGGUUGUAAAGCUCUUUCACCGGUGAAGAUAAUGACGGUAACCGGAGAAGAAGCCCCGGCUAACUUCGUGCCAGCAGCCGCGGUAAUACGAAGGGGGCUAGCGUUGUUCGGAUUUACUGGGCGUAAAGCGCACGUAGGCGGACUUUUAAGUCAGGGGUGAAAUCCCGGGGCUCAACCCCGGACUGCCUUUGAUACUGGAAGUCUUGAGUAUGGUAGAGGUGAGUGGAAUUCCGAGUGUAGAGGUGAAAUUCGUAGAUAUUCGGAGGAACACCAGUGGCGAAGGCGGCUCACUGGACCAUUACUGACGCUGAGGUGCGAAAGCGUGAGGAGCAAACAGG
rnacentral:rRNA from 1 species